rnacentral:rRNA from 1 species
AUUGAACGCUAGCGGGGUGCCUUACACAUGCAAGUCGAACGGAGUGGCGAACGGGUGAGUAAUGUAUCGGAACGUGCCCAGUAGCGGGGGAUAACUACGCGAAAGCGUAGCUAAUACCGCAUACUCUUGGAGCGGCCGAUAUCGGAUUAGCUUGUUGGUGGGGUAACGGCUCACCAAGUCGACGAUCCGUAGCUGGUUUGAGAGGACGACCAGCCACACUGGUAGUGAGCAACGGCCCAGAUGUCUACGGGAGGGAGCGGUGGGGAAUGUUGGACAAUGGGGGAAGGCCUGAUACAGCCAGGCCGCGUGUGGGAUGAAGGCCUUCGGGUGGUAAAGGACUUUUAGCAGGAGAGCGGUACCUGCAGAAUAAGCACCGGCUAACUACGUGCCAGCAGCCGCGGUAAUAC